rnacentral:hammerhead_ribozyme from 1 species
AUCCAACUGACGUGUCUCAAAUAGGACGAAACUUGCGUCGUGGAU